AAUUUGACCUUGGCUUCCAUGUUGUAACGUCUGCAUGUUUUGAAGAGGAGGUUUGUUGACCAGGAAGCAUGAGAUCGUAUUGCUGUAUCAACCAAUAGAUGCAGAUACACGUAUUUCAUAUACACGUCUGUCUGUGCAAAAGGAGGAGAUUUUCUGAAAAAGAAUAAGUGGUUAUUCAACUAACUGCGAUUUUCACAGGCUUAAAGCUGGUCCAUGGAUGGUUAUGUAUGAGGAUUUGCCAAUUCGACCGCAAGUGCUGCUGCAAGAAAUUAACCAUGCAUUGACCUUACAAAUUACAAAGAAGUCUGAAGAAAAAUUUUAUUGGACAGAUGGGUGUAAAGCACAGACCUGAGAUAUAAAUUGAAUAUUGUGAGAAAUAUGAAUCAGGAAUGCAGGUAGAAAAUGGCAAAUGUGAUCCAGAUUGAUAAAAAAUGUCUAUAAAAUUGCUUCUUUUUUUUUUGGUAAAUAUUCAAUGCUAGCUAUGUCAAUUGUUAUUUUUUCCCCCAAUAUCUAAAAGUGUUGAACUUUUCACUACCACUUUUGCUUUUAUAGAAUGAAUAGAUUUCCAUUUAAUUUAUAUAUAUAAAAAAAUGCCACAUUCUUAUUUUUUUCAUGAUGAAUUUGUGGCUUAAUAAGAGUUCACUCUUUCCAUACAUGCUCCUCUGUUUGUUUGUAAAAGAUAUAAGAUCCAAUACAUUGCUCAUGUCCAUAAUGUGUAAAUUUUUCAUUCAUUUAAAUGUUUUUCUCAUAAUGGUAUAAUAAAUUGUACAUAAUUUUG